rnacentral:lncRNA from 1 species
UUCCCAAGUUCUGCUUUUUGGCUGGCACCUUUCUCUCCUUCUAACCCAGCGACAUCCACGAAGUGGCAUACAACCACUUUCUUUCCUUUUUUUUCCGGUGGCUGUCUUUUUUUUUUUUUUUUUGUUAUUGCUAUAUGCAACACCAAGCCCUCCUGAAACGGGGCUGUUUUCCUGCUUUAAUUUUUUUCCUGUCUGUUGUGAUUGUGUGCCCAACAAGAGGAUCAUCCAAGAGAGAAAGGGAGAGAGGCUGUGACAGAAAAAAAAACAUGGCCUUCCUUUUAUUUUCUUUUUUAGCUGAUCUUCAUUUUUUUCCUACCUAUUCUUUUCUUCAUGACUAAUUUUGAUGUAGUUUGCUGAAAGAGAAAAAUAAAGACUUUCUUAAGCAGAGAUGGAGAGGAGUCGUCAGAGAGUCCAAGAGGUAAUUCACUCUCCUUUUUUUUUUUUUGUACAUUUUGGAAUUAACCCUCAAAACACCAUUUCUGUUUGAAAGGAUUUCCUUUUGCUCGGCAGAACUUUGUUGAACAGAAAUCCUCUCAUGGAUUUGCGGUUCAUGAUUUAAGGGUUGCCACCAUUAUGGAUUUACCAUCCAAGAGUUUUAUUUGAGGGUUGCCACCCUAUAUGGAUUUAUUAUCCAACCAAAUGAUUUGAGGGUUGCCACCCAAACAAGAAUUAAUUGAAAGCAUCGGUAUACCUGUGAAAAGUAUUCUCUUAUGCCUGUGCUCUUGCAAUUUUUCUCAUGCAGCAGUUUUCUUCUUCUGUCGUUUCCUUCUCCUUCUCUUUUUUUUUUUUUUUUUUAUACUGCUCCCCUCUUUAUGCUCCCCUAAAAAUAGGAGCCACUAACCUCUCUUAAGAGUUUUCAUUGGUUUAGACCCCCACCUCUCUAGCCUCAAUAGUUGCUUGCUAGAUGUGGCUAAAAACAGGUAUCAAAAUUGUGGGACUUACCCAAUCCCACGUUUCAAUUUUUUUUGUGAUUUUUUUGAUUCCAACAACUUGUAUUGGCUUUCUUUAUUUAAUAAACAAAGCAUUCACUAAAUUACAUGUCUAUACAUCAAAAAAAUUAUAAGGAAUAACCACAACAAAAGUAUAAUAAAAAAUAAUACAAAACUACAACCACAGCACAACCAAAACAUUACAAUUUGCCUUUCAGCUCGUCUACCGCUUUUCUCAUUUGCUUCUCGCUCUUGCCUCUCCACCAAUCUCCUCAUAUCUUCCAUUGAGAAUGGAGUAUGAAUUCUACACUCGGAGAAAUGAAAAUAUAGAAAGAUGUGGUGUGAGAGGUAUGAGCUGAGCCUCUGGUUUUAUAGAAAAUUUUGGCCAGAUAGAGAUGCCACGUGGCUUGAUUUGAUAGGAUGAAAAUCUUAUCUGAAAUUUGAAAUUCAUCCGAAUUUUGAAUUUUGAAAUUUAUCUGAAAUUUGAAUUUUGAAAUUCAUCUGAAAUUUGAACCCAAAAAUUUAUCCGGAAAUUUUAAUCCGAUUAUGAAUAGUCUUGACACGUAGGAACUCGAAAAUCUUAUCUGAAAAUAUUAUCCAAAUUGAUUAUUGAGGUAAAAAAAAUUGUGAAAAAAACAAAAAAAUGAAUAGUAAUUGCCCUUUGCCAUGGCAACGGGUGGAAAUAGAAAUGGCUUUUUGCAAGGGCAACCACUAUUCACGUGAAUAGUGG